AUGACUCCUUUCUCGUAGAUUUGUAGUCCACAUUGAUGCACUCAAUAUAGUUCAUAUGGUGCCCUUCAAAUAACUGCUGUAUAGUGCCUUCCACAACAGUACCCUUCAUUUUUUCUUCAAGCUUUUCACAGAGAACACGAUUGAGUUCUUGCACAUCAUGCUGCAAGAAAGAAUCAUAUGUGUCCCAUCCGAAUGAUUUUGUCAACUCCUUUGUUGCUACACUGUUGUCACUGUACUGGAGCUUAUAGAAUAAGCUUUGCAACGCUAGAGGGAUACUAGCAGAGGGCAUAUCAUUUUCAGUUGUAGGCAUGUGGUAUACAGCCUUCCUGAAGUAAGGAAUA
rnacentral:misc_RNA from 1 species